rnacentral:rRNA from 1 species
UACGGAAGGCCAGCAGUGGGGAAUAUUGCACAAUGGGCGCAAGCCUGAUGCAGCCAUGCCGCGUGUAUGAAGAAGGCCUUCGGGUUGUAAAGUACUUUCAGUCGUGAGGAAGGUGUUAAGGUUAAUAACCUUAGCAAUUGACGUUAGCGACAGAAGAAGCACCGGCUAACUCCGUGCCAGCAGCCGCGGUAAUACGGAGGGUGCGAGCGUUAAUCGGAAUUACUGGGCGUAAAGGGCACGCAGGCGGUUAAUUAAGUUGGAUGUGAAAUCCCCGGGCUUAACCUGGGAAUGGCAUUCAAGACUGGUUAGCUAGAGUCUUGUAGAGGGGGUAGAAUUCCAUGUGUAGCGGUGAAAUGCGUAGAGAUGUGGAGGAAUACCGGUGGCGAAGGCGGCCCCUGGGACAAAGACUGACGCUCAUGUGCGAAAGCGUGGGGAGCAAAC